CAAUAAGCGGAGGAAAAGAAACUAACAAGGAUUCCCCUAGUAACGGCGAGUGAAGCGGGAAAAGCUCAAAUUUGUAAUCUGGCGCCUUCGGCGUCCGAGUUGUAAUCUCGAGAAGUAUUUUCCGCGCUGGACCGCACAUAAGUCUGUUGGAAUACAGCGUCAUAGUGGUGAGAACCCCGUAUAGGGUGCGGAUGCCCAGUGCUUUGUGAUAUACUUUCGAAGAGUCGAGUUGUUUGGGAAUGCAGCUCAAAUUGGGUGGUAAAUUCCAUCUAAAGCUAAAUAUUGGCGAGAGACCGAUAGCGAACAAGUACCGUGAGGGAAAGAUGAAAAGCACUUUGGAAAGAGAGUUAACAGUACGUGAAAUUGUUGGAAGGGAAACGCUUGAAGUCAGACUUGCAUUUUGGAGUUCAGCCGCAAGGUGUAUUCUUCAAUUCGCAGGCCAGCAUCAGUUUUCGGGGGUGGAAAAUCACGGUUUGAAGGUAGCAGUCUCGGCUGUGUUAUAGCUUUCCGUUGGAUUCACUUUUGGGGACUGAGGAACGCAGUACGUUGCAAGACUUUCGGGUCUUUCGUACUUAGGAUGCUGGUGGAAUGGCUUUAAACGACCCGUCUUGAAACACGGACCAAGGAGUCUAACAUGCUUGCGAGUGUUUGGGUGUUAAACCCGGACGCGUAAUGAAAGUGAAUGUAGGUGGGAUCCGCAAGGUGCACCAUCGACCGAUCUGGAUUUUCUAAGAUGGAUUUGAGUAAGAGCAAUUAUGUUGGGACCCGAAAGAUGGUGAACUAUGCCUGAAUAGGGUGAAGCCAGAGGAAACUCUGGUGGAGGCUCGUAGCGGUUCUGACGUGCAAAUCGAUCGUCAAAUUUGGGUAUAGG
rnacentral:rRNA from 1 species